GAUGGAUGGAUGGAUGGAUGGAUGGAUGGAUGGAUGGAUGGAUGGAUGGAUGGAUGGAUGGAUGGAUGGAUGGAUGGAUGGAUGGAUGGAUGGAUGGAUGGAUGAUGGAUGGAUGGAUGGAUGGAUGGAUGAUGGAUGAUGGAUGGAUGGGCAGGUGUGGAUCCAGAUGCAGGUCCCCAUGUUCCUCAAGCUCAGGGCUCUGGGUGGUUCUGCUCUCCCCUCCCCCUCUCCCCUCACUCCCCCCCCCUGUUUCCUGUGCCCCCGCAGCCCCGGAUGUGGUGCCGAUCCCCAGCGCUGCUCUGAGAGCUGUGAGAGUUUCCUGUCCCCACCCAGAGACACUGAGAGACACCCACGGACAUCUGGGGACAGCCGGGGACACACAGGGACACACAGGGACACACAGGGACACCUGGGGACAGCCGGGGACACACAGGGAUACCUGGGGACACCUGGGGACACACAGGGACAGCCAGGGACAGCCAGGAAUGAACAGGGACUGGGCAUGGGUCACUGAGAACUGGAAAUGGGGAACUGGGAACUGGGCACUAGGAACUGGGAACUGGGAACUGGGCACUGGGAACUGGGCACUGGGAACUGGGGACUGGAAACUGGGCACUGGGCACUGGGAACCGGGCACUGGGCACUGGUAAAAGGGUUUGGAAUUUCGGGGUUUAUCUGUGUGGGAGAAGGGAUUGGGUUUAAAAAUCCCAGGAUGAGCCCAGGCAAGAUUCCAACGGUUUUUGGGAUGAGGGAAACUGAGGAAAAGGAGGCUCAGGGAUGUUGAUAUUGGGGUUAUUGAAGUUGGAAAUGGUAAAAUUCUGGAAUUUCCAGAGCAGGAAGGGUGAUCAGAGUGGUGGGAAAAUCCCAAAAAUCCUCGGGAAUUGUUGCUGGUCCAAGGCAGGGGGAGUUUCCCGGGAUAUCCCAAAGGUGUCAUGAUGGAGAUUUUGGGAUCUGCAGGUGCAAUCCCAUAAAGAAAUAUUCCAAAUAUUUCAGGAUAAUUUCAAUGGUUUCCUGCAGGUGCAAUUCCAGAAAUAAAUAUUCCCAAUAUUUCAGGAUUAUUCCUCUUCCCUCUUUUCAUAGAGACACAAUCCCAAACAGAAAUAUUCCCAUAAAUAAUUCAGGAUCUUUUCACUCAUUCCCUGCAUGUGGAAUCCCAUAAAGAAAUAUUCCAAAUAAUUCAGGAUACAUAUUUUUCCCUGGUUUCCUGCAGGCACAAUCCCAUAAAUAAAUAUUCCAAGUAUUUCAGGAUUAUUCCUCUUUCCUCCUUUCCUAGAGACACAAUUCCAAACAGAAAUAUUCCAAAUAUUUCAGGAUCACUUCUCUGGGUUCCUGCAGGAG
rnacentral:lncRNA from 12 species